rnacentral:rRNA from 1 species
UACAGAGGGUGCAAGCGUUGUUCGGAAUUACUGGGCGUAAAGCGCGUGUAGGCGGCGUCGUUAGUCGGAUGUGAAAGCCCUCGGCUCAACCGAGGAAGUGCAUCCGAUACUGCGAUGCUUGAGUGUUGGGAGGGGGUGGCGGAAUUCCCGGUGUAGAGGUGAAAUUCGUAGAUAUCGGGAGGAACACCUGUGGCGAAGGCGGCCACCUGGACAACAACUGACGCUGAGACGCGAAAGCGUGGGUAGCAAACAGG